GACGAAGACUGGUGUGGCCCAAUGGAUCCUCCAGGCCCUUCGAAAAACAGACUGCCAGAUGACCGGAAACUGGCUCUCCCUCAACUUCCAGAGAUUCAAGUCCUUCAUUAGCAUCACAGAUUUGAUGUCUCUUGACCCAAGCUUCAAUGGGACGGCUAACAUGGAGGAACUCUCAGCAGUACAACUUGCUCAGCUGACUGUAAAUCAAGAGAUGCUCUGCUGCAUCGAUAAAGUGAAGAUGGUCUUCACAAGGCUGGCUCAGCUGCCUGGCCUUGAUCACCUGGCUGCUUUCUGGGAUGCAUUCAACAUUGCCUAUA